AACGAACGUUGGCGGCGUGGAUUAGGCAUGCAAGUCGGGGGAAUCCCGCAAGGGGGAACCGGCGUAAGGGGCAGUAAGGCAUGGGUACCUACCCUGGGGUUCGGGAUAGCCAUCAGAGAUGGUGGGUAAUACCGGAUGACGUCUCAGGACCAAAGAUUCAUCCCCCCGGGAGGGGCCCAUGUGAUAUUAGCUAGUUGGUGGGGUAACGGCCCACCAAGGCGAAGAUGUCUAGCGGGUGUGAGAGCACGACCCGCGCCACUCGCACUGAGACACUGGCGAGACACCUACGGGUGGCUGCAGUCGAGGAUCUUCGGCAAUGGGGGCAACCCUGACCGAGCGACGCCGCGUGCGCGACGAAGGCCUUCGGGUUGUAAAGCGCUUUAGUGGGGAGAAAAGCCGCAAGGUGUGAUCUAUCCCAAAAAUAAGCACGGGCUAAGUUCGUGCCAGCAGCCGCAGUAAUAC
rnacentral:rRNA from 1 species